rnacentral:misc_RNA from 1 species
GAAUAUCCUGUUUGUUGU